rnacentral:rRNA from 1 species
UACGGGGGGAGCAAGCGUUGUUCGGAUUUACUGGGCGUAAAGGGCGCGUAGGCGGCCUGUCAAGUCAACUGUGAAAUCUCCGGGCUUAACUCGGAACGGUCAGUUGAUACUGUCAGGCUAGAGUGCAGAAGGGGCAAUCGGAAUUCUUGGUGUAGCGGUGAAAUGCGUAGAUAUCAAGAGGAACACCUGAGGUGAAGACGGGUUGCUGGGCUGACACUGACGCUGAGGCGCGAAAGCCAGGGGAGCAAACGGG